UCCUUUCCUUCCACAGCAUGGAGCUGAGGGGGCAUGGCCAGUCCCUGGCAGGAUGCUCUGAUUAGCCCAGCAGGGAAUUGAUAACAGUAUUUAUCACCCAAUUAAGGAAACAACAGAAGGACAUUACCAGCUACCUAUUUAUUCUACCUGUUGUUUCAUCAGGGACUCUAGCCAGCAGGUGGUCUGCUAGCUAAUACACAGGCACCUUCUCAGCAAGGAAGAGGAGAAGGGGGGAUUCCAGCUUAGCAGGGAGUGAUGAGCAGGACUGGAUGAACUUCAUUCAAGAGUGCUGAAAGAGCUGGCCGAAGUCAUCGCAGAACCCCUGGUGAUACUUCCAAAACUCAUGGUGCUCCAGAGAGGUCCCUGAGGACUGAAAGAGAACCAACGUUGUGCCCAUCUUCAAGAAGGGAAGGAGAGAGGACCUUGGUCAUUACUGGAACAACAGGAGCUAUGAAACUAGUGAGGGGCUGGGAAAGAAGAAUUGAAUUCACAGAUCCUGGAUGGUUUCCAUGAGGGCUUCACUGUUGAAGGCUGUUGCC